rnacentral:rRNA from 1 species
UACAGAGGUCUCAAGCGUUUGUUCGGAUUCAUUGGGCGUAAAGGGUGUGUAGGUGGCGCGCUAAGUCGGGUGUGAAAUUUCGGAGCUUAACUCCGAAACUGCAUUCGAUACUGGCGUGCUUGAGGACUGGAGAGGAGACUGGAAUUCAUGGUGUAGCAGUGAAAUGCGUAGAGAUCAUGAGGAAGACCAGUGGCGAAGGCGGGUCUCUGGACAGUUCCUGACACUGAGACACGAAGGCCAGGGGAGGCAAAACGGGG